rnacentral:rRNA from 1 species
UGGGAAACUGCCCUUAGGUUCGGAAUAACAGUUAGAAAUGACUGCUAAUACCGGAUAAUGACGUAAGUCCAAAGAUUUAUCGCCUAGGGAUGAGCCCGCGUAGGAUUAGCUAGUUGGUGGGGUAAAAGCCUACCAAGGCGACGAUCCUUAGCUGGUCUGAGAGGAUGAUCAGCCACACUGGGACUGAGACACGGCCCAGACUCCUACGGGAGCAG